rnacentral:rRNA from 1 species
UGGGGGAUAUUGCACCCUGGGCGAAAGCCUGAUGCAGCACCGCCGCGUGAGGGAAGACGGUUUUCGGAUUGUAAACCUCUGUCUUUGGUGACGAAACAAAUGACGGUAGCCAAGGAGGCAGCCACGGCUAACUACGUGCCAGCAGCCGCGGUCAUACGUAGGUGGCGAGCGUUGUCCGGAAUUACUGGGUGUAAAGGGAGCGCAGGCGGGGAGACAAGUCAGCUGUGAAAACUAUCGGCUUAACUGAUAGAGUGCAGUUGAAACUGUUUUUCUUGAGUGGAGCAGAGGCAGGCGGAAUUCCGAGUGUAGCGGUGAAAUGCUUAGAUAUUCGGAGGAACACCAGUGGGGAAGGCGGCCUGCUGGGCUUUAGCUGACGCUGAGGCUCGAAAGUGUGGGGAGCAAACA